GUGCAAAUAAGGUUGGAAGGGCAGUUUGCCUUGGGUUAGGCAAGAAUCUGUUUGGAAUUGGAGGAGUCUUCUGGGCUUUUCCAGCUGAACGUCUAGUUUUUUAAAGCAUGCAUCUGGCACUGUUUUAGAGCAAGCAAUAGAAACAUGAAUGCAAGGUCUGAAGAUGGAGCAAGAAUGCCGGGUGUUGCUAGUUUGGGUGCAAUUCUGGAGUAACUUGGACCAUCUCUUGGACUGAUUCCUCUGGAAAAUUAUUGUUCUCCUUAAGGAGGGGUUAAUUUUCAGCUGAGUUGAUGA